AGAGUUUGAUCAUGGCUCAGGAUGAACGCUGGCGGCGUGCCUAAUACAUGCAAGUCGAGCGAACAGAUAAGGAGCUUGCUCCUUUGACGUUAGCGGCGGACGGGUGAGUAACACGUGGGUAACCUACCUAUAAGACUGGAAUAACUCCGGGAAACCGGGGCUAAUGCCGGAUAAUAUUUAGAACCGCAUGGUUCUAAAGUGAAAGAUGGUUUUACUAUCACUUAUAGAUGGACCCGCGCCGUAUUAGCUAGUUGGUGGGGUAAUGGCUUACCAAGGCAACGAUACGUAGCCGACCUGAGAGGGUGAUCGGCCACACUGGAACUGAGACACGGUCCAGACUCCUACGGGAGGCAGCAGUAGGGAAUCUUCCGCAAUGGGCGAAAGCCUGACGGAGCAACGCCGCGUGAAGUGAUGAAGGUCUUCGGAUCGUAAAACUCUGUUAUUAGGGAAGAACAAAUGUGUAAGUAACUGUGCACGUCUUGACGGUACCUAAUCAGAAAGCCACGGCUAACUACGUGCCAGCCGCGGC
rnacentral:rRNA from 1 species